rnacentral:rRNA from 1 species
UGACGCUAAAGCUCGAAAGUGCGGGUAUCGAACAGGAUUAGAUACCCUGGUAGUCCGCACGGUAAACGAUGGAUGCCCGCUGUUUGCGAUACAAUGUAAGCGGCCAAGCGAAAGCGUUAAGCAUCCCACCUGGGGAGUACGCCGGCAACGGUGAAACUCAAAGGAAUUGACGGGGGCCCGCACAAGCGGAGGAACAUGUGGUUUAAUUCGAUGAUACGCGAGGAACCUUACCCGGGCUUGAACUGCAGCGGAGGGAUUGAGAGAUCAUGACGCCCUUCGGGGCCGCUGUGGAGGUGCUGCAUGGUUGUCGUCAGCUCGUGCCGUGAGGUGUCGGCUUAAGUGCCAUAACGAGCGCAACCCCUUUCGUCAGUUGCCAUCAGGUUAAGCUGGGCACUCUGGCGACACUGCCACCGUAAGGUGUGAGGAAGGUGGGGAUGACGUCAAAUCAGCACGGCCCUUACGUCCGGGGCUACACACGUGUUACAAUGGGUGGUACAGAGAGUCGGCCGCUGGCAAUAGCGGUCCAAUCAUGAAAGCCAUCCUCAGUUCGGAUUGGGGUCUGCAACCCGACCCCAUGAAGCUGGAUUCGCUAGUAAUCCGC